GACGAACCACACGAACGUUAUUCGGAAUUACUGGGCUUAAAGGGUGCGUAGGCUGUGCGGAAAGUUGGGUGUGAAAUCCCCCGGCUCAACCGGGGAAUUGCGCCCAAAACUACCGUGCUAGAGGAAGAUAGAGGUGAGCGGAACUUCGGGUGGAGCGGUGAAAUGCGUUGAUAUCCGAAGGAACACCGGUGGCGAAAGCGGCUCACUGGAUCUUUUCUGACGCUGAUGCACGAAGGCUAGGGGAGCAAACGGG
rnacentral:rRNA from 1 species